rfam:Caenorhabditis japonica strain DF5081 Contig9420.1, whole genome shotgun sequence.
CCAAACGUUUUCGGGACGUUGUUGGUUGACUCUGAAUACCCGUCGUUUUACUGUCAGUUUCGACUGACUCUAUCCGAGAAGGGUGUCUGCCCUUUCAACUAGAUGGUAAUCUAUUGGACUACCAUGGUUGUUACGGGUAACGGAGAAUUAGGGUUCGACUCCGGAGAGGGAGCCUUAGAAACGGCUACCACGUCCAAGGAAGGCAGCAGGCGCGAAAACUUAUCCACUGUUGAGUAUGAGAUAGUGACUAAAAAUAUAAAGACUCAUCCUUUUGGAUGAGUUAUUUCAAUGAGUUGAAUAUAAAUUAUUCUUCGAGUAGCAAGGAGAGGGCAAGUCUGGUGCCAGCAGCCGCGGUAAUUCCAGCUCUCCUAGUGUAUCUCGUUAUUGCUGCGGUUAAAAAGCUCGUAGUUGGAUCUAGGUUACGUGCCGCAGUUCGCAAUUUGCGUUAACUGUGGUCGUGACUUCUAAUUUGCUGGUUUGAGGUUGGGUUCGCCCUUCAACUGCCAGCAGGUUUACCUUGAAUAAAUCAGAGUGCUCAAUACAGGCGCUUGCUUGAAUAGCUCAUCAUGGAAUAAUGAAACAGGACUUCGGUUCUUUUUGUUGGUUCUAGAAUUGAUCUAAUGGUUAAGAGGGACAAACCGGGGGCAUUCGUAUCAUUACGCGAGAGGUGAAAUUCGUGGACCGUAGUGAGACGCCCAAUAGACGAAAGCUAUUUGCCAAGAAUGUCUUCAUUAAUCAAGAACGAAAGUCAGAGGUUCGAAGGCGAUUAGAUACCGCCCUAGUUCUGACCGUAAACGAUGCCAUCUCGCGAUUCGGAGGGUUCAUGCCCUACCGAGGAGCUACCCGGAAACGAAAGUCUUUCGGUUCCGGGGGUAGUAUGGUUGCAAAGCUGAAACUUAAAGAAAUUGACGGAAGGGCACCACAAGGCGUGGAGCUUGCGGCUUAAUUUGACUCAACCUGCUGUACGGCCAAGGCGGAUGUACGGUACAGCAGGAGUGAGUGUGUGGAGGCGACGCCCUCAAACACACUUUCUAUCUCUCAUAGCGAGCGUCGCCUUGGCAAGUCUGUGCGAUUGUGUACGUCGGUGCGAGAACGCGC